rnacentral:lncRNA from 1 species
UGCAUGCUCCCUUAAUUUUAGGACAUGUUAUCACCUGAGUAAAUGAAUUUCAUGUGGAGUAUCAGCUUCUGUUCUGGAUUUUUUCCCUCUUUUGACCCUAGGCUUUGGCCUAGUGGUUUGGACUCACUGUUUGGAUUAUGGGUUUCAGGUUCAAAGGCACAUUGCCAUGAUUGGAGUGCCUCAUUCAUUUAAGCCUGAUUAUUGGUUGAUGUUGGCUAACAUUGUGUUGUUUUGUAGGCUUUGAGAACAAAUUCACUUGUGCUUGUGCCUUGCUCUUUGUCUGAUGA